AUGGGGGCGCUGCGGUGAAUCUCAUGUCGUAUGCGACACUCAGAAAGCUUGGGCUCGGGGAGGAAGAUCUAAUCCAAACCGAUAUGAUGCUUACCGAUUUCGAGGGAGAUGUAUCACCAGCUCGGGGAGCAAUUCGUGUUGAGUUGACGAUCGAAAAGAUUGGAUUCAUGCCAACUGUUGCAUUCCAUCUACAAUGCACCAAUGCUUGAUUCAAUGGAUCGGGGAUUCUUGUGGAGAUGGUUCGUGCGGAUUCAUUUUUCAACAUUGUAGCAGCCGAUCCUGAAGUCUGGCAUGGUGUUCGCAAGAGGUGCAUAUCCGGUGAAGCCUGGCAAGGUGACACCUUAAAGAUGGCUUAUUUCAAACUAGAAACAAGUCAAGAAAUCGGCUCGGAAGAGUCAUCCCAAACAUCUACACAGAUGCAAGGCAUAACCGAUACUGUGUAUCGCCUUUAGCAUAAGUAUAUGGAGAGAAAAAAUAUUGCAGAGGUGUAAAUCUUCUAGCCUUCUGUUAUGAGCAUCGGUUCUUACGUGGCCGAUAUGAUAUAUAUUGCCCUUAGUACAAGAAACAUAUACGAACAAGAUUUUGCUCUAUCCAGAUUGUUUAGUGCCAAUGGUGCCUUGUUUGUUUAUCGAGAAAUCAGCUGGGUUGUCUUCUGGAAGUAGAAGAUUAUUAAUAUC